rnacentral:misc_RNA from 1 species
UCCGGCUUAUCACCGGCGGUUUCUUUAGAGUGCCCAACUAAAUGAUGGCAACUAAAGACGAGGGUUGCGCUCGUUGCGGGACUUAACCCAACAUCUCACGACACGAGCUGACGACAGCCAUGCAGCACCUGUGUUACGGUUCCCUUUCGGGCACUCUCCCAUCUCUGGGAGAUUCCGUACAAGUCAAGGGUAGGUAAGGUUUUUCGCGUUGCAUCGAAUUAAACCACAUGCUCCACCGCUUGUGCGGGCCCCCGUCAAUUCCUUUGAGUUUCAGCCUUGCGGCCGUACUCCCCAGGCGGGGUACUUACUGCGUUAGCGACGGCACAGGGGGUCGAUACCCCAUACUAAUAGUAUGCAUCGUUUACGGCGUGGACUAC